UGGGGAAUUUUGGACAAUGGGCGAAAGCCUGAUCCAGCAAUGCCGCGUGUGUGAAGAAGGCCUUCGGGUUGUAAAGCACUUUUGUCCGGAAAGAAAUCCUUGGCUCUAAUACAGUCGGGGGAUGACGGUACCGGAAGAAUAAGCACCGGCUAACUACGUGCCAGCAGCCGCGGUAAUACGUAGGGUGCAAGCGUUAAUCGGAAUUACUGGGCGUAAAGCGUGCGCAGGCGGUUUGCUAAGACCGAUGUGAAAUCCCCGGGCUCAACCUGGGAACUGCAUUGGUGACUGGCAGGCUAGAGUAUGGCAGAGGGGGGUAGAAUUCCACGUGUAGCAGUGAAAUGCGUAGAGAUGUGGAGGAAUACCGAUGGCGAAGGCAGCCCCCUGGCCAAGUACUGACGCUCAUGCACGAAAGCGUGGGGAGCAAAACAGGAUUAGAUACCCCUGGUAGUCCACGCCCUAAACGAUGUCAACUAGUUGUUGGGGAUUCAUUUCCUUAGUAACGUAGCUAACGCGUGAAGUUGACCGCCUGGAGAGUACGGUCGCAAGAUUAAAACUUAAAUGAAUUGAC
rnacentral:rRNA from 1 species